GACGAACGCUGGCGGCGUGCUUAACAUAUGCAAGUCACGGGGGCUCAAGGCGCAAGCCGUGAGCAACCGGCGAACGGGUGCGUAACACGUGAGUGACCUGCCGAUUUGUGGGGGAUAGCCGGGCCAACGCCCGGGUAAUACCGCAUACGCUCUUUUUGGGGCAUCUCUAGAAGAGGAAACCUCCGGGGCAAAUCGAGGGACUCGCGGCCUAUCAGCUAGUUGGCGAGGUAACGGCUCACCAAGGCUACGACGGGUAGCUGGUCUGAGAGGAUGGCCAGCCACAUUGGGACUGAGAUACGGCCCAGACUCCUACGGGAGGCAGCAGUGGGGAAUAUUGCGAACUA
rnacentral:rRNA from 1 species